rnacentral:rRNA from 1 species
UGCAGUCGAGCGACAGCGCCUCUUUCGGGGGGUGUAUGGAGCGGCGAACGGGUGAGUAACACGUGAGUAACCUGCCCCAGUCUUUGGGAUAACCUUCGGAAACGGGGGUUAAUACCGGAUAUCCAUUUGAUGCGGCAUCGUGUUGGGUGGAAAGUUUUUUCGGUCUGGGAUGGGCUCGCGGCCUAUCAGCUUGUUGGUGGGGUGAUGGCCUACCAAGGCGACGACGGGUAGCCGGCCUGAGAGGGCGACCGGCCACACUGGGACUGAGACACGGCCCAGACUCCUACGGGAGGCAGCAGUGGGGAAUAUUGCACAAUGGGCGGAAGCCUGAUGCAGCGACGCCGCGUGAGGGAUGACGGCCUUCGGGUUGUAAACCUCUUUCAGCAGGGACGAAGCGUAAGUGACGGUACCUGCAGAAGAAGCGCCGGCCAACUACGUGCCAGCAGCCGCGGUAAGACGUAGGGCGCGAGCGUUGUCCGGAUUUAUUGGGCGUAAAGAGCUCGUAGGCGGCUCGUUGCGUCAACCGUGAAAACCCGGGGCUUAACUUCGGGCUUGCGGUUGAUACGGGCGGGCUGGAGUUCGGUAGGGGAGACU